ACCUUGGUGGUGUAGUGGUAGCAUACAACCCCGGUAUGUAUGAAUGCGGGUUCGACUCCCGUCUGAGGGCG